AUAAAAGCGUCUGCUAAAUGGCUCAAACGUUAACGUGUUGGAAGUCGCUGUUGAUAGUGGAGGUUAGCUCGGUGGAAGCCAACAAUCUUCUCCAGUUGGAGCAGUUGGACGGUUGACCACUGAAAGCCCUGACGCCCUACACUUCGGUGAAGCCUGUGAGACAAAGACCGUCAACUGUCCAAACCACCCAGGAGGUAUCCCAUCCACCAGAGCCAGGAUCAGUCUGAUUCUUUGUGCUCUUGAGUCGGAAGGGGACCAGUUUGAGGUGCAGCAUCCAGAAGUAGGAGGCCUCCUCGCGGUGGGCGGCAUCGCCAUGCUGUCAACAGUACCAACACUGGCCCAGGGGUUUAUCCAGAUAGUCAGUCUCAAGGCUAACCACUGGUUCACGGGACCUCUUUGACUGUGGAGUGGGCAGCAGUCCAGAAGUAGAAAGGGGGCACAGAUUGUGGGCUGUUUGCUAUUGCUCCCUGCAGAGAUGAGGAACCCUCCAUGGCACGAUACGAUCAGAAAUCCAUGAGAAAACAUAUUUCCUCUUGUUUUCAGGCUGGUUACCUGGCGCCAUUACCCAGUCCCAAUUCCAUCCCGAUUCCAGCCCCCCCCUGGGUCCAGGCCUCUCAAGGUGUCCACACCCUACACAACAGAGGUCAGCAUCCACUGCUUCUGUCGGAAAUAUGUGAGAGAAGAUAAGGAGGUGGCCCGGGGCUGGAGAUGUUGCAAGCAUUUUCAUGCAUCGGUUUGUCUCAUGUCGUCAAUGUGCGUGAAUUUGUCUGUCCAUAGUCCGUCAUCUGUUUUGUCUGAUGAUUUCCUAACCCGUUUUCACUGCUUGCCCGGCUCCUCACCUCAAGACGGUAGGUAUUUUACCACAUUGCAUCUUGUUGUAUAUUGUAUGUUAUUGUAAAUAACCUUAAUAACCUGUUGAGGGUUGAGUCAUCACCAUAUUGCUACACCUAUCCAAGCCCCAUCAGGUCAAACACUACAAAGAUAGAGUAGGGGGUUGAGGGCCUUCAUUAAAGGUUGAGGGCGUCUUCAUCCUUUAACUCUUUCUCUCCUCUCUCUCCAGACGAAAUUCUUCGUCUAGUGACUUCUGAUUGCCCAACAAUCUGCCCACUCAUCCCAUCCCCUCCUCUGUGUCAUUAUAUCAUUUAAAGCUACUGUUAUUGUCAUGAUGUCAUUAUCUGCUAAUAAAGUUUGCU
ensembl:lncRNA